GGAGAGGUGGCAGAGCGGCCGAAUGCGGUGGUCUUGAAAACCACUGUGCAGUGACCCUGCACCACGGGUUCAAAUCCCGUCCUCUCCG
rnacentral:tRNA from 1 species